AUUGAACGCUGGCGGAAUGCUUUACACAUGCAAGUCGAACGGCAGCACGGACUUCGGUCUGGUGGCGAGUGGCGAACGGGUGAGUAAUGUAUCGGAACGUGCCCAGUCGUGGGGGAUAACGUAGGGAAAAUUACGCUAAUACCGCAUACGAUCUAUGGAUGAAAGCGGGGGAUCGCAAGACCUCGCGCGAUUGGAGCGGCUGAUAUCAGAUUAGGUAGUUGGUGGGGUAAAGGCCCACCAAGCACACGAUCUGUAGCUGGUGUGAGAGGACGACGAGCCAAACUGGAACUGAGACACGGUCCAGACUCCUACGGGAGGCAGCAGUGGGGAAUUUUGGACAAUGGGCGAAAGCCUGAUCCAGCCAUUCCGCGUGAAGGAUGAAGGCCCUCGGGUUGUAAACUGCUUUUGUACAGAACGAAAAGGUUUCUACUAAUACUAGGAGCUCAUGACGGUACUGUAAGAAUAAGCACCGGUUAACUACGUGCCAGCAGCCGCCGUAA
rnacentral:rRNA from 1 species